UCCAUCUUGUCAUAGCAAGUUUAAGAUCUUACACUGUGUAACUCCGUUUUGUGACUUGAAAUAUUAAACUUAUAAAAUAAAUCGAAGUUAAUCAAAGUAUUCAAAUAUAUUAGAGUCAGUUAUUCCGUUAAAUCCUCUCACCAAUCUACGCUGCAACUCGUCACAUCCAGAGUAUCCUCAAGAGGUACCGUUCGACGUCACAGUAGGAAAAAUGCGUCCCGUAAAUCAGUGGAGCCGGAACGCCUCUGAUUGGGGCUUGAAAAGUCACUGGAUUCCGGGUUCGUGGACACGGAACAAAUUCCGGACUAUGGGACGGCAGCCUUGCUCUGGACCGAUAGCUAUAUGAUCAGAACGUCCGGAGCGACGCUGGUGAUAAAACCGUGCACUAUUAAAUCUCAGAGUUUCGCGGACGCCUGUUCUGCCUCUCCGCCUUAGAGAUUGGACUCUUGUACCCUAGUCUCCGUGGUCAACUGCUUCGCCGGCUAUAGACACAUAAAACACGAGAAGAAAGGAGAUAAAAGUCGAAAAAAUAAAGUUAGACACGGUGCAUGCAUCAAUUACUGUACAUACAUACGUAACCGUUGCUGAGAACACAGCCGUCCCCUUCCACUUAUUUGAGAACUCUGAUAGCAUUGCAUUACCACAGCAAGAAAAAUAAAUGUUGCCACACAAAUUGACUAGUAGGAGUGGUAGCAUUGAUAUAAUAAUAGGAAACAUUGAAAAUUUGUUUGCUUUCUAUCUCGAGAGUGCGCUGGUGGUGCGCUGCGAUAAAAUUGUGUUACCAACAAACGUGAAGGAAAACUCAAAAGUUCUACUAUCCUUUGGUUAUUUCAUCACCCAGCUCGAUUCAAGUGGUAAUACUUGCAAUCUGUGUCGAAUCAAGAAUCCUGUCCUAAACUGUCCUAAAGCAGUGAGUGUCACCCCACUGCACUAAUCUUCAGUCGAAUGAGCCUUUAGUUUGAAAUAGACAGAAAUACUUAACUGAAAUAUUUUGCUGUUGUGUGGUUCGUAAUGAAAGAGUAAUGACUGGGUGUUCAGUUCGAGGAUGUUCGAAUUCCCGAGAAAAAGGUUUUCUAAUGAAAACAUUACCAACCGAUCCAGAUAGGAGAAGACUUUGGCUGACAGCUAUCAAUCGGCCUGCUCUUAUGAAGAGUAAAGCACCUGCUUUAUGUGAGGUAUGCGAAUGUACAUUUUGACAAUGAUUGCUGGGAAAUGCCGGGUGUUGGUGGGAAACGGAAGCUGAAAGAUGAUGCAAUGCCAACCCUCUUCCUGAAUUACGUUGGCAGAAAACAGCGUGAUGAUGUGCCAAUUGUUACUCCACCUCCAAAUUAUGUAUUCGAAGUAAUGGUUCCCGACCUAAUCAUCCAAACAGACAUGACCAGGGUGAACCAGCAACACGCAGUUAUUACUCCAUCUUCAAACUAUGUAUAUGAAGUGAUGGUUCCAGAACUAAUCGUCAAGGCAGAUGUGAACAAGUCGACAGAAGAACCAAAACCUCAAAGUUCAAACACAGAUCACGAACAUUGUAAUAAAUUAUAUGACAGAUGCUACCAAAGAUUGAUGUACUUAAAAAAAAAAUUAAAAGCGUAUCGAGCUGAAAAUAAGCGGUUGCGAGCCUUGACUUGUGAUGGAGAUACAUGUAAAGGCAUCCUGAAUGAUGCCGAGAUAGAAAUACUUGAAAAAAGAUAUAAGAGGUGUGAAAAGUGGUCCAAAGAUACAUUAGAACAAGCUUUGUGGCUCAAGUUAGCGUGUGGAAAUGCUGGAUACACUCAACUAAGAAAACAAAAUAUUCCACUGCCAUCACUGCAAACACUAGCCCACAUGCGACACGUUGAAUUUGACUGCUGAAUUAAAAUACAGUAGAAUCUCAAUUAACUUAUUCUACAAAACUUCACACGAUAGAAAUAAAACACUACUUUUUAUGUCAUAGUUGCAUGUUGCAAACAACAUAUUGUUUGUUAUAAAAUGUAAAGCAAGGCAACAAAUUAAAUUACAUUUCACUUUCUGUCAUCCAAGUACAAAUAAGAUCUUGAAAUUCAGUAGUCACUGCGUGAUGGAUGGAAAGGAAAAAUCAUAAAGUAAUAAGUAACAAAGUUCUAUAAAUCAAGAUUCAUCAUUUACUGUAUGAAACGAAAUGACUGUACAUCAUACUGAGACCCUGGUUUGAUUACAUUCAUAACAACGGGUAUGUGGGAUAAUUGUUUUUUACUACUGAACACGAUAAUGAGAUCAAAUUACAAGAUACUAAGUUACUAAAGAUCACGGAAAUGAUAGCCAGAUUUCCCAUAAUGAGUUUGCAACUUGGUGCUAGUAAGAACAAAAGCAACUACAUGGUUCACAGUUGGAUCAGAGAUUAAAGCAGCUAAACUUAGAUAGUGAUCUAUACAGAGUGUUUCUAUCGAAGUGCUAACAAGAUAUAAUAGGAUUUAAAAAAAAGGAAAGAAUCUAGCCAAAAAAUUUUCGGUUUAGAAAAUUACAUAAUGAGAUAGACUCAGACGAAAUAUUAAUUAUUUUGCAUCGCUUGCCAAUAGGGAUCUAGAUACAAUAAAUCAACACAAUACAUACGUUCACAAACACAAUACGUAGAAUUUUUACGUGUGGAUUAAUUUAUAUUCCGUUUUCAUUGCAGUCUCAGUUGUAAAAUGGUGAACUCAUAGGUUUGUUGGCAUUGUAAAGCAUAUUGUUCAAAAUGGAAGUCAAACUCUUUAAAGCUUACUUUGGACUCACAAGGAAACAGAAAAAUUUAUUUUACAUUGUGAAUAAACGUUAAAGACUAUCAGUUAUUUGAUUGGAUUGAUUGUUACUCCUACUACUCCAUGUCAAUUACAUUUCUAACUCUUAAGUUUACUUUUUUCGUUCUCACCCUGAUACAUCUCCAAAUCAUCACAAUAUAAGGUUAUUAAAUAUAAUUGACGUGUGUAAAUAUUGUAAAUCAGAUGUUAUGCAAAUAAUUAUUUGAUAUAUGAACUAUCAUAUCAUUUCCGAACAAUGUGACGUAUAUAGGGCAUUCCAUGCCAACUCAAACAAUGUUGAAUCCUCAUCACUUUUGAUAUUGUUCAAAAAAAUUUUACCAGAUUGUCCCAACUCCAAAACAGUACCCAGAAUUGUUUUAGAUUUUUUUGAGUAAAUUUGUAUUACUGAUGAUUUUCGAAAAACAACAUGUCUUAUACCGUAAAUUGAAAAUUUGAAAAAAUAUUCAAAAACCUUGUGUCAAGUAUAAAAAUUUUUAGGCCUAGACCCAGCGUGGGCUGGCGAUCCCUUCUGCUCUUUUCUGAGCUUUCUAAAGAAAUAAAAAAGAAUUGAAAAAAUUAUCAGAAUAUACAUUAGGGUGGUAUUUUUUUUAAUUUAAUUUUUUUCUUCUUACGUACCCGUUGAAGUUAGUUGUUGGCCUCAAACGAAGCUUUGUAAAACCGGAAUUCUGUAUCAAAAUACUAAAAGAUGACUCGUCCAGUUUAAA